CUCAACAUGCAGAAGCAAUUCGCCUUUUUCCCUGGAAAACUUCGGGUCGUGUUCCGCAAGGGGCCUCUUGGGUUUCACCUCCAGGAGCCAUCUGAUGACGCCAAACGGUUGAGUUCUACUCCUCAGGACAAGUCUGCGGCCAUGAGGGAGGACCUCGUACGGCAGAACGCUUUGGCCGUCAUCCGACAAAGAGGGGGGGAUCCCUCAGAUAAGAUGGAGGUGCUGGGAGAAUAUGUCCUGCAGUUUGGUAAAUAUAAAGGGAAGUCAUUCAGAUGGCUUUUGCAGAAUGACGUAGGAUACACCGUGUAUCAAGAACGAAACAGAAUGAGGAAGCAGCAGGUCUCUGUAUGGCUGACAGCCACAGUAAGGACAGCCUCCAGUCAUUUGUGAGUUAUGCCCUCAGUUUCCAAGAAAUCCAGGCUCUUACUUAUGAGGCCGGAAGAGGGGAUGGAGUGACUGCCUCUUCUGAAGAUGACCAGCUGGUUGGAUUUGGUGCCUGAGCCAAGAGCACGUGGAAGGAGAUCUGGGACAGCAGAGGUGGUGGCUAUGCUGAUUUUGUCAUAGGCAAGCGCUGCGUUCCAGGUACAUGAAUGUUCAGGUUGCAGCAGAACCUGCUGAAGAGGCAGCAGCCCACCACAUCUUCCACACCUGCUGAGCAUCCCAUGAAGGCCCCAGCUGAGCCCCUGGCCAUGGAGGAGGACGUAGAGAUGGAAAGGGAGAUGCUGAGCAUCCAUAACUCUGAUCUGCAAGUCCAGAGCUAUGCUAUCCCAGUAGCAGCAGCCGCCCUGCCGAGAGUGCCACCAGGAGCAAAGGCAGUUCCAUCUGCCACACGCUCCAAACCCCCACCUGGAGAUACCGCUGAUCUACAGGCAUCACUAGUUGAUGGUAAAAACAUUGUAAUUCUGUUCAUCCAAUCAAGUGUUCUGCUAACUGCAGCUGCAUUAAAUAGAGUAAUUUCAUUUUUGAAAAUUACUGUACCUGCGGCUGUUCCAGCUUCACCAGGUGUGAAGAGGAAGAGACCUGUGCCCCUCCCUCCACAGCUGGCCUUCCUGGUGACAGAGACAGAGGGUCUCACAAAGGUAGAGGAGCCCCACUCAACUUCAAGUAUGUUUAUUUUUUUUAGGGCUGAUGAACAACCUGAUAUCUCUGUAAUGUACAGCUGACUGUUCUUUCCAUGUUGUCAUCAGUUCCCAUAGCUCCUGUUCCCAUGCCUGUCCCUGACCACGACAUGAGCAAGUGGAUCUGCUCACAACAUCAAAAGCUGUGGAUGAGGACGGCACUUCAACAACUUGGGUUGUGGCCUGGGUCCCGACCAGUGCAUAACCCUGGGAACGCAAUUUCUCUUUGGCGUCUUCCUCCUCAACCGGAGCUACUGGACAUAGUGGCUGAGCUCCCAUCUCCCAACUUUUUUUCAGCUCCAUCCAUUUUUCAUUUGGAAGCCAGAGAGCCACAUCAUGGUCAGGUUGAGGAACAAUUACAUCCUGCCGUGCCUCCAUAGCUGUCCUCGUCCUCAGGUGGUCUCUGCAGGCGUGGGAAGACCUUGAGUGAUCGUCAGCGUCCGUGGCCAGUAUUUUAUCUUUUCCUCGCGACUCUGCUGCAAGGCCUGUCGCAGGAACUG
ensembl:lncRNA